AUUGAACGCUGGCGGCAGGCCUAACACAUGCAAGUCGAGCGGAUGAAGGGAGCUUGCUCCUGGAUUCAGCGGCGGACGGGUGAGUAAUGCCUAGGAAUCUGCCUGGUAGUGGGGGAUAACGUCCGGAAACGGGCGCUAAUACCGCAUACGUCCUGAGGGAGAAAGUGGGGGAUCUUCGGACCUCACGCUAUCAGAUGAGCCUAGGUCGGAUUAGCUAGUUGGUGGGGUAAAGGCCUACCAAGGCGACGAUCCGUAACUGGUCUGAGAGGAUGAUCAGUCACACUGGAACUGAGACACGGUACAGACUCCUACGGGAGGCAGCAGUGGGGAAUAUUGGACAAUGGGCGAAAGCCUGAUCCAGCCAUGCCGCGUGUGUGAAGAAGGUCUUCGGAUUGUAAAGCACUUUAAGUUGGGAGGAAGGGCAGUAAGUUAAUCCCUUGCUGUUUUGACGUUACCAACAGAAUAAGCACCGGCUAACUUCGUG
rnacentral:rRNA from 1 species